AUGCCACCUUCCGUGCACGACACGGAAGGCCUGCCGUUCAUGAAGCAUGGUCGUGUCUUCAGUGCGCACCGCCGGAUGAACGUCAUGCUGGGACACGCUAUCCCUGAUUUAUGCCGCUUCAGCUUGGAUGAGUCUCCAUCGUGUGGAACCGGACUAGAAAGCUACGACAAUGAUUCCCGUUGCCCACCGCUAUGGAUCGUGCCAUCCAUGAAGAACACCUGGGACUGGAACCUGGAGGAGGACAUUAGUACUAGUAGAAUUGAGAUUGAAUGCACUUUCUUCCCCGUCUUGCACUCUUCUUCCUCCUCUCUUCUUCUUCCUCCUCUCUUCUUCUUCCUCCUCUCUUCCCCAUCGUCGGCCGCACACCAUUUACCCCCACUCACUGCUCACCUACCCGCGCCAUCUUCCUUGCCGGUGCUGCCAGCUGGCGUCAAGUUCAAUCCCACGGAUCAGGAGCUGAUCGAGCACCUUGAGAUCAAAGUGAGUGCUGACUGCGCGAGAUUUCAGUCUCUCAUCGAUUUGUUCAUACCAACCAUCGACAGCGAGCACGGCAUAUGCUACACCCAACCUAAGAAACUUCCAGCGCAAUUCCAGGGCAUUCAAAAGGGGCACGUGGACGCGUCGCAAGAUACAGUCGGAGUGUGGUAUGCACGCGAUGUGGCACAAGACCGGCAAUACCUUGCCGGUGAUGGUCAACGGCCGGCAAGACGGGCAGCAAAAAAGGUUCUGGUGCUGCACACCAACAAGAACUUUGACCAGCAGAGGACCAACUGGGUGAUGCACCAGUACAACCUCGGGGAACUGGAGCAAGAGAAGGAGCUGGUCCUCUGCAAGAUUUUCUACCAGAUAAAACACUAG
rnacentral:rRNA from 1 species